rnacentral:lncRNA from 1 species
CAGAUCUUGGUUUCUAGAUAUCAUUCCCCAUUAAAGGGAACCAAAGAUUCUAGAAGAAAUGAGAAAUGAGUGAUUCCAGAACUGGAGUUGGGAAGGUAUAAGACGAGUCUGGAACAUCUUCUUGUACCAGAAAGUAAUUAAGUGCUCAAAAGGACAGAGGGGCCAGCUUGAAGGACUAGUACCAGCCAAAUCCAGAACAAUUUGAGCAGCAACAUCAAUAAGAUAACUCAUUAAAGUCCUGAAAUUUUAACAACCGGCUCUCAUCAACCAGCUCCAGCACAUCACUGACUGCCCAUUUUACCAAUAAGAAAACUAAAGCUCAGAGAGAUUGUCACUAACUAGCCCUGGUCACACAGGACAGAGCCACGCAGGUGGAUGGGAAACCUGACCAGGAAAGGAGGAAAGAAUAAACGGAAAGUGAACACGUACCUGACAGCCUGGUUCAGGAUCUGGCAGGAUGUGGUCCCUCCAGAGAUCUGGCUAAGUCAAGAUUCAACAACCAGCAAUUGGGUAACAACUGGAAGAAAUAAUAGAUCAUUCAUCGUUUUUUACAACAUCUGUAUUCAAUGUUCCUUUUCACACAUUUUCACCGUACUUAACGAAAACGUUAUUUAAGACUUAUCUUAGAGGUCAUAGAAAAGGCCAAGUAUUAAAAAUCAACUAAAGUUUCCAAGAGAGAAAAACAAAUUUAUCAACAGUAAGUCGUUCAGCUCUCAACACAGAUACAACUUGGCCCCAGGUCUGACCCAGUCCUCCUCUACCACAGCAUUUUCAAAUCUGCCGCCUCUGCCUUCAGCGACUGCUCACUGGCGGCGCCCUGUCGUGAUGCUACCACAAUCCAGCGUCACAUCUCGCUUUCCAGGAAGUGUGCGGCGACAUAUCACUAUAAUCAGCGUCCUAACGCCACAAGUCGUAAGGUCGCUCAGGAGCCAUCUUAAUUUACAUUGUGGAAUUCUUGUACAAAAGUGCUUCGAAGCGUCUCCGACAGAGAACGUUCCAGCAGAAAACGCUGCUUUUCGAGCGCCACAAGCUUCUACCGCGGCCGUCGCCAGCGCAGAGGACCGGCCCCCACCCGCUCGGGAAUGAAGCAGCGCUUGCG